rnacentral:rRNA from 1 species
AGUUUGAUCAUGGCUCAGAAUGAACGUUGGCGGCGUGGAUUAGGCAUGCAAGUCGAGCGAGAACCGUAGCAAUACGGGGACAGCGGCGAAAGGGACAGUAAUGUGUAGAUCAUCUGCCCUCGGGAUCGGGAUAGCUGCGGGAAACUGCAGGUAAUACCGAAUAACAUCUCCGGAUCAAAUGGUGUGAUUCCGCCUGAGGAUGAGUCUACAUCCUAUUAGCUAGUUGGUGGGGUAACGGCCUACCAAGGCUUUGAUGGGUAGCGGGUGUGAGAGCACGACCCGCGUCACUGGGACUGAGACACUGCCCAGACACCUACGGGUGGCUGCAGUCGAGAAUCUUCGGCAAUGGACGCAAGUCUGACCGAGCGACGCCGCGUGCGGGAUGAAGGCCUUCGGGUUGUAAACCGCUGUCAGAGGGGAGGAAAUUACGGUGGGUUCUCCCACCGCAUUGACCUAGCCUCAGAGGAAGUACGGGCUAAGUUCGUGCCAGCAGCCGCGGUAAGACGAACCGUACAAACGUUAUUCGGAAUCACUGGGCUUAAAGGGUGCGUAGGCGGCGCGGAAAGUAGGGUGUGAAAUCCCUCGGCUCAACCGAGGAAUUGCGCCCUAAACUACCGUGCUCGAGGGAGAUAGAGGUGAGCGGAACUUAGGGUGGAGCGGUGAAAUGCGUUGAUAUCCUAAGGAACAC